rnacentral:rRNA from 1 species
UGGCGGACGGGGAGGUAAUGUCUGGGAAACUGCCCGAUGAGGGGGAGUAACUACUGGAAACGGUAGCUAAUACCGCAUAACGUCGCAAGACCAAAGAGGGGGACCUUCGGGCCUCUUGCCAUCGGAUGUGCCCAGAUGGGAUUAGCUAGUAGGUGGGGUAACGGCUCACCUAGGCGACGAUCCCUAGCUGGUCUGAGAGGAUGACCAGCCACACUGGAACUGAGACACGGUCCAG